rnacentral:misc_RNA from 1 species
UGGACGAGCGGAGGGAGUGUGGCGCGUUGACUCCGAUUGCUGGCCACGACUCAUGCUCUGCCGCCGCCGCGCUCCCCUCCCCUCCAGGAGUCACAAAGCCGCAAAGAGGGUCAUGUGCAGCGAAGCAAAAAGAAAGAUUUCUGAGUGACGGCAGACGGAAGGAAGACUUGCCGACGCGAUUAUCAGCGGCACACACACAGGCACCGCACACAAAGAGGUCGUCGUCCUUUGAUUAUCUUUAGAUGUUGUCUCGCCUCAAUCAAACAGGGAUCGGCCAGUGUGGUGCCGCUCUCCGGGUGUUUCGUGCUGAUGUGUGUGUGUUUGUUUGUGAAUGUGCGUGAUGCAAUGCCGUGUAGCGGGUGUGAGUGCCAGCGCUCUUAGUUUCCAAUGAUGGCCCUCGUGUUCGAGGUCGGUGCUAUCCUUGACGAGAAUAGCUCAAGCGAGCGCUCUUUUGGACCUCCCCACAGGUGCGUCCCUGAGCGCGCCUGUACGCUCUCCCUGCGGCUACUCUUGGAAAGCGAAAAAAGCAAACAACGAAGGGAGCGAACACAGAAACAGAAGGGAGGGAACAGCGGAAGUGGACGUGUGCGUCCACCCCCCUCCCCCGCUCCCUUCUUCCCCCACCCCUUCCCCUCACAAGCGCAGGUAGACACCUAACGAUCCACACCGGCAGCUGUUUUGGUGGCGCGAUGUGCUAAACAUAAGUGAAAAAAAAAUGAGAAACACUGGAGCAAACGUACCUGUAAAAGAGGUUCUGCGUAUAUAUGUAUAUAUACAUAUAUGCAUAUACAUACAUAAAGGUACACACUGUAAUGAGCAAAGACAAAGAGAAUCCACAAUGCAUGCUCGAGAACGCAUGGGAGGCAACGAGACUGCGCAGGUUGCUUCGAGCAGCGUGUGCCGGUAACGCCAGAGCGGCCGUCGCCUUACAGGUGUAGCUUUCCGGCAUCGCUCGUGUGCGCGCAGAAGGUGUUGACGUGUGACAGCCGACGACCUUGGGAUGUGCUUGUGUGUGUGCUUUCUGCGGUAGUGGGCCACAGCGACAGGCUAGCACGUGUCACAAAGAGAACAGAUGAAGUGCUUUUCGCCCGAUUUUCCAUCUUCCGCUCUUGCUGUUCUCGCACAUCGCUGUGGUCGACCCUUGCGGUUUUGUCCAGCAGCUGAAGGCCCACACUGGGCUAGCACGUUGGUCUGAC